UGAGGAAUAUUGGACAAUGGAGGCAACUCUGAUCCAGCCAUGCCGCGUGCAGGAAGACGGCCCUAUGGGUUGUAAACUGCUUUUAUACAGGAAGAAACACUCCCUCGUGAGGGAGCUUGACGGUACUGUAAGAAUAAGGACCGGCUAACUCCGUGCCAGCAGCCGCGGUAAUACGGAGGGUCCGAGCGUUAUCCGGAAUCAUUGGGUUUAAAGGGUCCGUAGGCGGAUUAUUAAGUCAGAGGUGAAAUCCCACAGCUUAACUGUGGAACUGCCUUUGAAACUGAUAGUCUUGAGUUACCUGGAAGUAGAUAGAAUGUGUAGUGUAGCGGUGAAAUGCUUAGAGAUUACACAGAAUACCGAUUGCGAAGGCAGUCUACUACGAGUAUACUGACGCUAAUGGACGAAAGCGUGGGGAGCGAACAGGAUUAGAUACCCUGGUAGUCCACGCCGUAAACGAUGGACACUCGUUGUUGGGAUUUAUUCUCAGUGACUAAGCGAAAGUGAUAA
rnacentral:rRNA from 1 species